GACGAACGCUGGCGGCGUGCUUAACACAUGCAAGUCGAACGGAAAGGCCCUGCUUUUGUGGGGUGCUCGAGUGGCGAACGGGUGAGUAACACGUGAGUAACCUGCCCUUGACUUUGGGAUAACUUCAGGAAACUGGGGCUAAUACCGGAUAGGAGCUCCUGCUGCAUGGUGGGGGUUGGAAAGUUUCGGCGGGUGGGGAUGGACUCGCGGCUUAUCAGCUUGUUGGUGGGGUAGUGGCUUACCAAGGCUUUGACGGGUAGCCGGCCUGAGAGGGUGACCGGCCACAUUGGGACUGAGAUACGGCCCAGACUCCUACGGGAGGCAGCAGUGGGGAUUAUUGCACAAUGGGCGGAAGCCUGAUGCAGCAACGCCGCGUGCGGGAGGACGGCCUUCGGGUUGUAAACCGCUUUCGCCUGUGACGAAGCGUGAGUGACGGUAAUGGGUAAAGAAGCACCGGCUAACUACGUG
rnacentral:rRNA from 1 species